CAGCAGCCGCGGUAAUACGUAGGUGGCAAGCGUUGUCCGGAAUUAUUGGGCGUAAAGGGCUCGCAGGCGGUUUCUUAAGCCUGAUGUGAAAGCCCCCGGCUCAACCGGGGAGGGUCAUUGGAAACUGGGAAACUUGAGUGCAGAAGAGGAGAAUGGAAUUCCACGUGUAGCGGUGAAAUGCGUAGAGAUGUGGAGGAACACCAGUGGCGAAGGCGACUCUCUGGUCUGUAACUGACGCUGAGGAGCGAAAGCGUGGGGAGCGAACAGGAUUAGAUACCCGUGUAGUCCCUGUCUCUUAUAC
rnacentral:rRNA from 1 species